rnacentral:rRNA from 1 species
GACGAACGCUGGCGGCGUGCUUAACACAUGCAAGUCGAACGCUGAAGCUCAGCUUUUGUUGGGUGGAUGAGUGGCGAACGGGUGAGUAACACGUGAGUAACCUGCCCCCUUCUUUGGGAUAACGCCCGGAAACGGGUGCUAAUACUGGAUAUUCACUGGUCUUCGCAUGGGGGUUGGUGGAAAGGGUUUUUCUGGUGGGGGAUGGGCUCGCGGCCUAUCAGCUUGUUGGUGGGGUGAUGGCCUACCAAGGCUUUGACGGGUAGCCGGCCUGAGAGGGUGACCGGUCACAUUGGGACUGAGAUACGGCCCAGACUCCUACGGGAGGCAGCAGUGGGGAAUAUUGCACAAUGGGUGCAAGCCUGAUGCAGCGACGCCGCGUGAGGGAUGGAGGCCGUCGGGUUGUGAACCUCUUUCGCUCAUGGUCAAGCCGCAACAAUGGUUGUGGUGAGGGUAGUGGGUAAAGAAGCGCCGGCUAACUACGUG